rnacentral:rRNA from 1 species
GAAUUCGCCCUUAGAGUUUGAUCAUGGCUCAGGACGAACGCUGGCGGCGUGCUUAACACAUGCAAGUCGAACGGUACUUAAUGAGUAGUAAUACGAGUUAAGUAUAGUGGCGGACGGGUGAGUAACGCGUGAGCAAUCUGCCUUUAAGAGGGGGAUAACACCGGGAAACCGGUGCUAAUACCGCAUAAGACCACACUACCACAUGGUAGAGGGGUAAAAGGAGCAAUCCGCUUAAAGAUGAGCUCGCGUCCCAUUAGCUAGUUGGUGAGGUAACGGCUCACCAAGGCUGCGAUGGGUAGCCGACCUGAGAGGGUGAUCGGCCACACUGGAACUGAGACACGGUCCAGACUCCUACGGGAGGCAGCAGUGGGGAAUAUUGGGCAAUGGGCGAAAGCCUGACCCAGCAACGCCGCGUGAGGGAAGAAGGUUCUCGGAUUGUAAACCUCUGUCCUUGGGGACGAAGAAAGUGACGGUACCCAAGGAGGAAGCCCCGGCUAACUACGUGCCAGCAGCCGCGGUAAUACGUAGGGGGCGAGCGUUGUCCGGAAUUACUGGGCGUAAAGGGUGCGUAGGCGGUUAUUUAAGUCAGAUGUGAAAUCCCCGGGCUUAACUCGGGUGGUGCAUUUGAAACUGGGUAACUAGAGUGCAGGAGAGGGAAGCGGAAUUCCUAGUGUAGCGGUGAAAUGCGUAGAUAUUAGGAGGAACACCAGUGGCGAAGGCGGCUUUCUGGACUGUAACUGACGCUGAGGCACGAAAGCGUGGGGAGCAAACAGGAUUAGAUACCCUGGUAGUCCACGCUGUAAACGAUGGAUACUAGGUGUAGGGGGCUAAAGCCCUCUGUGCCGCAGCAAACGCAAUAAGUAUCCCGCCUGGGGAGUACGGCCGCAAGGUUGAAACUCAAAGGAAUUGACGGGGGCCCGCACAAGCAGCGGAGCAUGUGGUUUAAUUCGAAGCAACGCGAAGAACCUUACCAGGGCUUGACAUCCCUUGAAGUGCAUAGAAAUAUGUACGCCCUUCGGGGCAAGGAGACAGGUGGUGCAUGGUUGUCGUCAGCUCGUGUCGUGAGAUGUUGGGUUAAGUCCCGCAACGAGCGCAACCCUUAUGGUUAGUUGCCAGCAUUAACGGUGGGAACUCUAAUCAGACUGCCGGGGAUAACUCGGAGGAAGGUGGGGACGACGUCAAAUCAUCAUGCCCCUUAUGUC